UUGCUUUGAACUUGAGUCCCUCUCCUUCCUCCUCGUCCUUCUUUUCUCUUCCCUUCCCUUCCCUUCCCUUCCCUUCCCUUCCCUUCCCUUCCCUNNNNNNNNNNUCCCUUCCCUUCCCUUCCCUUCCCUUCCCUUCCCUUCCCUUCCCUUCUCUUCGCCCGGCAGAUGUCACUGUAGCCUAGGACUCGCGACCACAGCGGGCAGGGCUGGAAGCUUCCCCCACAACCCCCCCGCCCCGACUUUGCUCCCCUCCUCCCCGCUGCCCCCCCUGCCCCAAAUCCGCCUCCCUUCUCCUCCUCUCUCCCCCCCUUCUUUUCCCUUCUCCCAUUGCCUGUCACCGACUAGCUACAGACGGAGGAGGAGGAGGAGGAGGAGGAGGAGGAGGAGGAGGAGGAGGAGGAGGAGGAGGAGAGACUGGGAAUGAGUUGGAGACAGACACAGCCCUCCGCGCACACAGAUACGCUGCUGGAGACAGACAGGGGGAGGCGGCGGCGGCGGCGGCAGGAGGAGGAAGAGGAGGAGGAGGAGGAAGAAGAAGAGGAGGAGGAGAAAAAGAAGGGGAGGAGGAGAGGAGGAGGAAGAGAGGAGGAGGAGGAGCAGGAGGUAGGACACUUUCUAUCAGGCAGCAGUGGCAGCAGCAGCGGCAACCUCCCUCCGCCACCUUCCCCGACCCCUUCCCCGCAUCUCCCCCGUUUCCCUUUCCCCAGCCCGGGGAGGGGAUUGCUGCUGCAGGCAGAGGCAGCUGCGGGGCUCCGGGAAGGAGGUGGAAGAAGAAUACAGCUCCAGAGACUUAACCAACCGUCACACAGCUGGCCGGGACCAGAGUGGUUCUCCCUACUUCCAACACAGAGGUGUUAUUGUUGGUUUUUUCAUUACUCCAUCAGGAUCUUCUCUCAUCUACAGUAGAUGUUAUAUCUAGUAGAUAUUUUAUGCAGCAGAUUGAUUCCUGAAAAAAUUAUGUAAUUUGGUUCUUCUAAAAAUAAAAUUCCAUUUUUUUAAACA
rnacentral:lncRNA from 1 species